rnacentral:lncRNA from 1 species
UCAAACCCAACACAGCCAUGGACAACAUGUUCACUUUCUCCAUUUUGACAUCUUCUGCAGAGGUGUCUGUGGUGUUGCAAAUAUUUGCUGGCUUUAUUUCUUCAGCUUUCAUUUCUGGUGUUGUUGAGUUGGCUGUAAAAUUGCCGUUGCUUAAUCUGGCCGUGCACGUCACCUCUGAUUGUUUUGUCACUUUGACGACUUUUAUAGUAUUAUACAUUCCAUUUGAUGUCACAAUGGGUGCUUUUGGUUCAUAUACAACUUCAUUAGAGGACAUCUCCAAAC